rnacentral:lncRNA from 1 species
UAUGAAUCUGUGAUUUGCUUUCUUGUAGGCAUUGUAUUAGAAGUGCAUUAGUUGGUUUGUUAUCCUUCCUUAUUGAAAUACAUAUGCCUGAAAUAGACCUAGUGGGCGAAUCGGCGCAGUCGGUGGCCGAACCCACUGGGAACUUCUUCUAGUUCUUAUCCCACUAACCAUGCACGUUCUAGCGCGAGCGGGGCGAUCGGGGCUCGUGGCGUGGUUAUCGUGCUCUAGGUAGUGUACUACCUUUAUGUAUAUAGAGGCACCCUUGUAUAUUUCAUCUAUUAUGUCGAUGAAUGUAAAAUGUAAAAUGUAAAUGUAAUAAAAUCAUGUGAGAGGUGAAAAUGUAUUAAGUUCAUUUGAGAGAUGAAAUUGUAAAUUGAGAUGAAUGAAUGUAAAGAAAUGUAUGAGCUUUGUAUUUGAUUGAAAAUGAUCAAGAUACAAUGUAUAAAAAUGUAAUAGUUAGAUUGCUCUCACUUAUGUUUGGUUGUUGCUUGCCCUCGUGCAAGCCGUGUAUACUUGCAUUCAUUAUGUUUGAAUUGCUAUUGUUAUACAUGUAUUGGUGGAGCCUUGGGUGGACAGGGGAGGUGCUGUCCGUUCGGCGUCUGUCAUGUGCUCGAAUCCGAUCAAAUUGGCGGAGCUCGGGGCGUGACAGCUACUAUGCAAUCCUGCAAUGCAACAUGAAGAGAUGAGAUUAAAUGCAAUCUAAAACAUAGAAAGGAGUCCGAAAGCUUCGGGAUGGCACCCCCCACCUUUAAUCGAUGUAGAGGCUUUGGAUAUUCUUCUCGGCGAGCUUUACGAAAAGGCUUUAGCCUUCCUCGCCCAAAUCAACACUAGCCCGGCCCA